CCUACGGGAGGCUGCAGUAGGGAAUUUUGCGCAAUGGGCGAAAGCCUGACGCAGCAACACCGCGUGAAUGUUAAGCCCUUCGGGGUGUAAAGUUCUGUCAAUAGGGACGAAUUUUGACUGUACCUAUAAAGGAAGCACCGGCUAACUCCGUGCCAGCAGCCGCGGUAAUACGGGGGGUGCAAGCGUUGUCCGGAAUCAUUGGGCGUAAAGCGUUCGUAGACGGCAGCGCAAGUCUGGAGUGAAAUCCCAUGGCUUAACCAUGGAACUGCUUUGGAGACUGUGCAGCUAGAGUGCAGGAGAGGUAAGCGGAAUUCCUAGUGUAGCGGUGAAAUGCGUAGAUAUUAGGAGGAACACCAGUGGCGAAGGCGGCUUACUGGACUGUAACUGACGUUGAGGCUCGAAAGCGUGGGGAGCAAACAGGAUUAGAUACCCGAGUAGUC
rnacentral:rRNA from 1 species